rnacentral:rRNA from 1 species
AGUGAACGCUGGCGGUAGGCCUAACACAUGCAAGUCGAACGGUAGCACAGUAAGAGCUUGCUCUUACGGGUGGCGAGUGGCGGACGGGUGAGGAAUACAUCGGAAUCUACUUUUUCGUGGGGGAUAACGUAGGGAAACUUGCGCUAAUACCGCAUACGACCUACGGGUGAAAGCAGGGGAUCUUCGGACCUUGCGCGAUUGAAUGAGCCGAUGUCGGAUUAGCUAGUUGGCGGGGUAAAGGCCCACCAAGGCGACGAUCCGUAGCUGGUCUGAGAGGAUGAUCAGCCACACUGGAACUGAGACACGGUCCAGACUCCUACGGGAGGCAGCAGUGGGGAAUAUUGGACAAUGGGCGCAAGCCUGAUCCAGCCAUACCGCGUGGGUGAAGAAGGCCUUCGGGUUGUAAAGCCCUUUUGUUGGGAAAGAAAAGUAGCAGGUUAAUACCCCGCUGUUCUGACGGUACCCAAAGAAUAAGCACCGGCUAACUUCGUG